GCCGGCUGCGGUCACGUUACCACGGGCUCCCCCUGCGCUCCCGCACGGCUUGCAGUUGUCUGAUUUCAAUCAGCGGCAGUUCCCUCCACAUGUCCAGCCAUCAAUCUUCCGCCGCCCCUGGAUGAGUGUGGCACAACACGGGGCAUGUUCCAGUUAAAAAAUAGCCUUUGCCGCAGCCUUCCCUCCUCGGCCACUGAUAUUUUUGGAGCUCCUGCCAUGUGUUAGGCACUGUUCUUGGACAUGGGGAUGCAGCAGAGAAGAAGAUACAGCAUUGACACUUCCUGCAGCUUACACGCCAAAGGAGGAGACCGACAAUAAAUAAUUAAAUGAAAAAAUAAGAUAUGAUGUUAGAUACUGAUAAAUGCUACUUCUACAAAUAAUAUAGGUGGUUAAGGAUGGCCCUUCUGAAAAGAUUUAUUUGAA